rnacentral:tRNA from 1 species
GAGGAUUUGGCUCAGUGGUAGAGCGCUUGCCUAGCAAGCACAAGGCCCUGGGUUCAGUCCCCAGCUCC